rnacentral:rRNA from 1 species
CCCUUAGAUGUUCUGGGAUGCACGCGCGUUACACUGAUUCGUUCAACGAGUUUAUGACCUUGCCUGAUGAGGUGGGGGAAUCUUUUCAAAUCGCAUCGUGAUGGGGAUAGAGUAUUGUAACUGUUAGUCUUCAACGAGGAAUUCCUAGUAAGUACGUGUCAUCAGCUCGUACUGAUUAUGUCCCUGCCCUUUGUACACACCGCCCGUCGCUCCUACCGAUUGAGUGCUCAGGUGAAUAGUAUGGACUGCAUCAGUGUUCGGUCUCCGAAUGUUGGCGCGAGAAAUUCUGUGAAUCUUAUGGCUUAGAGGAAGGAGAAGUCGUAACA